rnacentral:lncRNA from 1 species
GGCCUCAGCUGCCCAGAACUCGCCCCUGGCUGCUCGUUCACAGCCCCGGCGCCUUCAGGCGGCUGCACUCGGCGAUUCUCCGAGCGAAUUGUUCGCCGAGAAUUGCUCCGUGCCAGCGAGUCCUGAACUCGCUAAGCAUUGGUCUCUGCGGCGGAUUCCUGAAUUCCGGUUGAAGUUUUGUUGAGGCAUUGUUGCUCACCUGGGAUAUCCUCCUUCCAAAAUGGCUUCUGGAUUCCCAGAAAAGACACUGGCACCUCAUCUUCUGCGCAGGGAAAGACUGAAGCCUGACACUCAAUUCCUUCUGUCAGGCUGGACACUCAUCUGUGCUGCUCUGACCAACCUGCCCUUGGG